UACUCCAGUCCUGAGGCCUGAAGUGUG
rnacentral:piRNA from 1 species